rnacentral:misc_RNA from 1 species
AACGCACCUUGCGCCCUCUGGUAUUCCGGAGGGCAUGCCUGUUUGAGUGUCGCGCACCUCUCAACCCCCCACUUGGUUUCACACCGAGUGCGCGGGCUUGGACCGUGGCUGCCUUAGGUCGCUUGCGCGAGCGAGCGGCCCAGCCGAAAUGCACACCAAGCGGAUGUCCGUUCUCUGGGGACGCGGCUUGACCGAGUGUUGUAGUGUCGUACAAGCACAUUCGGGACGUGACCUCUAGAGCGACGGCUCUGCGCCGGAACGACGACUCUAUAUUGUCAUCGACCUCAAAUCAGGCAGGACUACCCGCUGAACUUAA